AGUAACUGCGAGUGAACCGGGAAAAGCUCAAAUUUUGAAUCUGGCAGUCCUUGAGGCUGUCCGAGUUGUAAUCUAGAGAAGCGUUUUCCGCGCUGGACCGUGUAUAAGUUUCCUGGAAAGGAACGUCAUAGAGGGUGAAAAUCCCGUCUUUGACACGGACUCCCAGGGCUAUGUGAUGCGCUCUCGACGAGUCGAGUUGUUUGGGAAUGCAGCUCAAAUAGGGUGGUAAAUUCCAUCUAAAGCUAAAUACAGGCGAGAGACCGAUAGCGAACAAGUACCGUGAGGGAAAGAUGAAAAGAACUUUGGAAAGAGAGUUAAACAGUACGUGAAAUUGCUGAAAGGGAAACGCUUGAUGUCAGUCGCGUCGGCCGGGGAUCAGUCUGGCUUUAACUAGCUAGGCGUACUUCCUGGUCGACGGGUCAGCAUCAGUUUUGACCGUCGGAAAAGGGCUUGAGGAAUGUGGCACUCUCUUUACCGGGGGUGUGUUAUAGACUCUUGUCUUGAAUAC
rnacentral:rRNA from 1 species